AUUAGUACGAAGUCAUGACCACGUGCACAUCCAUAAGCUAUAUAACUACUUAAUAGUUUAUAAGUAGUUAAAGAACGACUUUUUCAAAACAACCACCUAACAGAACUAAUUCAAGAUGUUACACAGAAGACAAGAUUCAACGUUGACAAGCUAGUAACCAAAAUUAAAUGCCGGAAGAAGGCUUGAAGAUUUGCCCUUCUAACAAAAUGAACUAAUUCUGGUGUAUCCGUGUCUCAUCCUUCGACAUAACAUGUUGAUCAGUUAUGUCUUCUACUCAACCUAGCUGAUCUUUGAACUCAAACCUUCUGUACGUUGAACCAGAGCAGGUAAGUAGAAAAUACGAAGCUAAAGAUUCAAGAACGAGUGAUUUCUUUUUUAAGGUAUCUGUACUGAAACUGUAUAGAAUUCAUGGUGUCAGUAUAAUGAGGGUGUUAAAAGUAAAGAUACCAAAAUUGGGAAUGUAUAAGGAGUGAUUAAUGUUCACUUCGGUUUUCGAAAAGGGAAUGAGUGUGAGAUAGCAAACUCUGUUUUUAUUUUGUUAUGGUCUUAUUUAGUAUUUAAUUAUUCCUUCUAUCGUUUAGUUAAUCUGUUAAUUUUAAUUUACGUUUAAACGCUAACUCGCAUUCCAGUUAAUCACACACAUUUUUCAAUUUCUAUAAAUUGUGAGACUGAUGCCAGUUUUCCAUAGCGGUGACGUACAGAUAUUAAUGUUGGUAAAGUGUGUCCACAUGAUUAUCGCAUGAAUUCUGAUCUCUUGGUUAAUUAUCGUAGAUUAGCUGGUGUUAGAACCCAAGAACUUCAAUCAGGCUGAUCUAGAGCCAGAAGCGAAAGAAGAUAAAGCCGAAUAUAGAAGAAAAUGGAAUGACUUCGCCUUGUAAGGUAUCUGUAUUUAAAAUGUUAAGGACUGAUAAUGUCUGUUUAAAUAGGGCAUUAAAAGCAAGGACUCAAAAUUAUGAAGUUUAAAGAGUGAUUAAUGUAAUCCCUUUGUUUUUCUAAAGGGGAAGAAGUGCGAGUUAGCAAGUUCAAUUUUUAUUCAGUUUUGUAUUUGUUUACCGUUCACUCAUUAUUCAUUUUAUCAUUUGGUUAAGUUGUGAAUAUUUAUUUUAAAUUUAAACGCUAACUCGCAAUCUAGUUUUUCACAUAAAUUUUAAAUCUUUGAGACUGAUACCAGUUUUCCAUAGCGGCGACUUGUAGAUGUUUCAAAAGUAUGUAAAUAAUGAUCACCAUUUUUAAAUCUCUUGGUUCAAGUAGAGAAGGCAAAGAUGGAAGAAUAUGAACGAUUUUUCUUACGAAGGUAUCUGUACAUAAACUGUGGAGGAUUCAUGAUGUCGGUAUAAAGUAAGCCGUUAAAAUUAAGGAUACGAAAAUUAUGAAUUUAGGAGUGAUUAAUGUAAUCAUUUCGGUUUUUCGAAAGGAGUGUGAGGUAGCAAGUCCUUUUUAUUUUGUUAUGGUUUUGUUUACAGUUAGCUUAUUAUUCUUUCUAUCUUUUAGUUAAUCUGUCAAUUUUUAGUUUACACUUAAACGCUAACUCACCUCCUAGCUUAUCGCCUCAAUUUUUAGAUUCUACGAGUUAUCAGACUGACACCAGUUUCCCACAUUGGUCGCGUACAGAUAUUAAUGUUGAUAAAGAGCAUAUAAAUAAUAACAUGAAUUAAUCUGUUGUUUUAACUAGUUACUUAUUUAUUGCAGAUUAGCUUGUCUUUCAACUCAAGGACGUCCCGGAGCCGGAAGGUGAAGAAGGAAGAACGUGAACGAAUUUUCUUUGUAAAGUAUAUGUAUUUAAACUAGUAGGAACCUAUAUGUAAACUGUUUGAUAGUUUCUAAGAGAUCGAAGUCGGACGUCUUGGAAACAACUAAGAAAAUACUCAACUGUUGUAGAAAAAACAGAACUAUCUAGAGAUGCUAUACAGAAGGCAAUAUCUGACGUUGAAAAGCAGUUAGAGAAAAUGAAUGCCGACAGAAACCUUGGAUUUUUUUCCCCACCCUACAAGAUAAAGGAUUUGUUCUGGUGUCUCCCCUUCUCAUCCUUUGUAUCUAAUUGAUAACUUCAAUGUCUUCUGCUCGACCUAGUUAGUCUUCGAACUCAAACUUCUUGCAAGAUGAAUCAGAACAGGAAGAUGGAGAAAAUAAAUCCGAAGAUUCAAGAACAUGAACGAUUUUUUCUUGUAAGGUAUCUGUACUGAAACUGAAAAGGAUUCAUGAUGUCAGUAUAAAAAGGGGUCUUAAAAGUAGGAAUACAAAAAUUGGGAAUUUAGAUUGGUUUAUAUAAUAAACGUGGUAUUUGAAAGUGGAAGGAGUGUGAGAUAGCAAAUUCUAUUUUUAUUUCGUUAUGGUUUUGUUUACAAUUACUUUAUUAUUCCUUCUAUCGUUUAGUUGAACUGUACAAUUUUAUUUUACAUUUAAACGCUAACUCACCUUCUAGUUAGUCACAACAAUUUUUAGCUCAAAUAAAUUGAGACUGACACCAGUUUCCCUUAUCGGUGACAUACAGAUAUUAAUGUUGAUGUAGACUAUGUAUAUGGCUUGUAACCUCUUGAGUAGUUAUGAUAGCACUACGAAUAAGGGAGUGUGACGUUUAUACUAAUCGAUAUGAUAAUUAAUGUUUAAUUACAUGAAAACGUAAAUUAAUAAUUAAUGUUUAACGAUUAAUUAAUUAUUGAGAUGUAAGAUUCAAUGUGUCCGACGUAUAGCAGUAAGUGAAAAGUUCAGAGAGGUGUAGUAUACAAAUAUUUGGAAAAUAUAGCUAUAGUGCGAAUCACUACAAAAUAUAUUUUAAAACCAAAAUAAGCUGUAUGUUCACCCUACUUUAAGUUUAACUUACUUAAACAAGAACGGGUUUUAUGUGACUUAAAAGUCGGUAGAAAAACUAAUGUAUUUAUUCUUUAUCUUUAAGGAUACAGGAAACUAAAUGUACAUUAACGAUAUUCUCUUUCUCAACAUUUGUGAGUACAUAACCUAUCUGUUGUUUCUGAUUGACUACUUUCAGUUUUGGAUGUGGAACUGGUACACAAGGUAAGUUUUAAACAUCUAAGUCGUCGAGACCUAUACGGAGUGCAAAUUCUUCACAUGAUCCUUUAAACGCAAAGAAAUAACGGUAUUAUGCAUAAUUUUAAAAAUUGAACUGUUCUCCUAACUUUUCUGACAGGCAAAACCUGCUAGCAGCUCUAUAACCUUUGUUUAGUAAGAACACAAAACAUGAAUACGUUAUACAUUAGUGUUUUGCUAAGGUUAAAUUAACUUUAAUGAAAGUCUGGUUAUACGUAAGUUGGUGUAUAAUUUCUACUUCAUUAAAGCUACGAAUUGAGUAUUUCAAUGCGUACUAACAAAUCUGCAACUAUUGGAUAAGAGAUUACAUAAUUCAAGACAGUCUCGUAAAUUUUCGUUUAGCGGAGAUUAAGUUUUCCUUCUUCCUCUUCCUCACUUCUAUUACAAAAACGCCCUACUAUUAGAGAGAAUACUUUAUAAGCUACGAUAACGCUUGUAUACGUUUUACAUUCCCUUGGCCACGUACCCGGGGACGUGGCUAAGGAGGGGAAAACCGUAGACAAGCUUUAACAUGGUUUGUAAAGUUGUUCUUUCCCAUAGUAGAGCGUCGGCCACCCUGUAUUCUCUUAAGUUUCUUUUUGUUGUAUAUAUCCCCAACCUACGCUAAACGAGAGAUUUCUUGAAUUACGUAAACAUGCGAUCGCAAAUCAAUACGAUUAACGAUUCUUUUAUAAAUCUUUCUUUGCUGAACCUCUGCUACUCAUUUCAAGGAGAAGAAACGUAAUAACAUCUGGACUAUUGCAUAAACUUCCCUUUUCGUCUUUAACACCUAAACAAUUGAUGUAAAAUCGGAAUCCCUUGUCCAAUACUUUUAGUUUUGUUAAUAGUUAUAACAUUCGAUUCGUGGCUUUAAUUGACAAAAAUUAUACAGAAUAUUACAAUAACUGAUACAUACCAGACUUAUAAGAAAGUUAACUUAACACGAAGAAGUUUCACGAUGUAUAGAUCCUGGUGACUUGGAUAGUUGUAGUUUAAAACUUAUUAUAUACAAAAGUUCUACAUCAAAAACAAAGUAACUUGGAAACGUGAUAUAGAUUCUUUAUGUAAUCCCAACUUUAGAAAGAAUAUCAUGAAUGUAUAUUUCAGUUAUUGUAUCGUUAUUUAAAGUGAAAGAAUAAGAUGUAUUCGUUUUUAAUGACUAAGUGACAUAAUCAAUCUUUUCUUCACAAAGUUGAAUUUAAGUAUAGUGAACACUCAUCUUAAUUUGGUUGUCAAGUGUAUUUUAUAUUGAUUGUAAUUAGCUCUAUUUCCCGGAUUCUUUUAGAUUGACUCUGUGUGAACGUUACUUAUUCCUGUAGGUCGAGCACAAUUUGAUUUAGUUAAAUUUUGAAAUUUUAGUUUACAACAUUUAACCGCAAGUUCUUCAACUUAAAUCUUGUGUAUUUUGUGUUUGCAUGAAUUAUGAGACUGACUAGUUACCUCUAGUGAUGACUUCUUAUGUAAUAUAAGAGUACGUAAAUAAUGUCCUGAAUAUAUAAUUUUGUAAAAAUAAAAAAUAUAACCAGUUGUGAGAUUCUAUAAUUUACAUUAUUGUUUACUUCAUGUUUUAAUUAUGCAGUGUGUGUGUGGUUCUUUGUUAAUAUUUCUGGCCAGACACAUUAACUGUUCUCGAAUAAGAAAGUUUCUUGAAUUUUAACAUCUAUGGUUAUUAAAUUUCUUUAUUUCUUUGUUUGUCUAUUUUGGUUUC
rnacentral:lncRNA from 1 species